UACGGAGGGUGCGAGCGUUGUUCGGAAUCACUGGGCGUAAAGCGCGUGUAGGCGGCCCACUAAGUCUGAUGUGAAAGCCCGGGGCUCACCCCCGGAAGUGCAUUGGAAACUGGUGGACUCGAGUCCCGGAGAGGGUAGUGGAAUUCCCGGUGUAGUGGUGAAAUGCGUAGAUAUCGGGAGGAACACCAGUGGCGAAGGCGACUACCUGGCCUGUUCUUGACGCUGAGGCGCGAAAGCUAGGGGAGCAAAAGGG
rnacentral:rRNA from 1 species